rnacentral:rRNA from 1 species
UACGUAGGGCGCAAGCGUUGUCCGGAAUUAUUGGGCGUAAAGAGCUCGUAGGCGGCGUGUCACGUCGGUUGUGAAAGCCCGGGGCUCAACUCCGGAAUUGCCUUUAAAACUGCAUCGCUCGAAUUGUGGAGAGGUAAGUGGAAUUCCGAGUGUAGAGGUGAAAUUCGUAGAUAUUCGGAAGAACACCAGUGGCGAAGGCGACUUACUGGACACAUAUUGACGCUGAGGUGCGAAAGCGUGGGGAGCAAACAGG